rnacentral:lncRNA from 1 species
CGCUCUCUCUCGAAGGGGGCUGUUUGGAGAAAAGGGCAAAAGGGUCAUUUUCACAGUGUAACCACCUUGUGAAAAUGAUACCAACAUGAUGGCCUCGACGAUACGAAGACGUGGGCUUUGGAAUCACCUCAAUCGGAGUCCCGAGCAAAAAGAUAUGAGCAUUUGAAGAAGAAGGACCAAUCUGCAAUUAAAAUAACUGCCAUCGGGGCCUGAGAGAACAGCCGCUCGCGCCUUCUCUAGGAAUUCGCUUUCUACUAAGGGAAAGCGUAUUCUUGGAAAUACGCCUCCAGUUACUCCACUGGGCCCGGGCUCUCUCUCUCUUACAGCUGGGCCCUACCUUAUCCACUUCCUCUCUCCCGCCCCAUCUUCUCUCUCUCCUCCUCGCUUUUUCUUCAACCUCGCGACAGGUAGCAGGGAGGUUCAGGCGCUGGUCCUCGUCGUCGCUUCGCUACUCCGGGAGGCCGGCCGGCGGGAGCAGGGGAACCGCUGCCCCUCACCGCGCCCGAGGGUGGCCGCGGGGUCACCGGAGGUGGACCACAGCGCCACCGCCACGGGCCGGUUCACGGCGGAUGGGAAACUGCAGGGGGCUGCGCCGGAAGGGCCUUCCCCAGUGGGAAUGGGAGCGACGGUGAUUGCGCAGAAGCCCUGGGAGGGUAUGGAUGCAGAAGAAGUGGAGAAGAGGGAGGCGCUCGGAUCCGAGCGGUGGCUGCGGCAGCCAUGGCGGCCAUUAGA